AACGCACAUUGCGCCCCCUGGCAUUCCGGGGGGCAUGCCUGUCCGAGCGUCAUUUCUGCCCUCAAGCGCGGCUUGUGUGUUGGGUGUGGUCCCCCCUGAUCUUUUAGGGGGGACCUGCCCGAAAGGCAGCGGCGACGCCCCGCCCAGGUCCUCGAGCGUAUGGGGCUCUGUCACCCGCUCGGGAGGGGCCUGCGGGCGUUGGUCACCCUAUCAUUUUAAAUUUUACGGUUGACCUCGGAUCAGGUAGGAGUUACCCGCUGAACUUAA
rnacentral:misc_RNA from 1 species